GUGGAAUUUCACUACGAUUGGGUUAUUUUUUGAAGGCUUGGUUAGAGUUAUUGGAGGAAAUGAGAACCUUGUUUUCCUCCAACUAAAGUUGAAUUGGAAUUCAACCUUCACUUUGGGAUUUUUCUUGGGAAGCUUGGUUAUUGUUGUUAGGACCAUUUUGGUUAAGCUAAUCUCCAGGUACGAGAUUCUCUUACUAGACCUUUGAACUAAAGUUAAAAACUUGCAUGUAAUUUUUCAUUAUGCAUUGACGUAGCUAAAAUGCAUAAUGUGUUGACGUUGAUGAUGACUGAUAGUUAUGACUGAGGGAUAAUGAUGAUGAUGAUUGAUGAUGUAAAUGUUAAUGCAUGAAAUAUUAAUCCCAUGACUAAGAAUGCUAUGAUUAAUAUUCAUGUCAUGCUUAUGAUGUUAUGUUAUGCUACAUAUUAUGGAUAGGGUGUUCUGUUAACCUUAUCUAUUAGAGUCGUACCCACAUGGGUGUCCCUCGGGAUCACCACCUUUUUAUGACUGUGUAGUUUGACGGGAUCACCAGUCCAGUAUGAGAUGAUAUGUAUAUGAGUGACUCGACGGGGUCACCCAUAGCUUGAUUAUCUUAGUGUUUCUUUCGAGUUAACUAAAGAUCAGUUUGUCCUAGAUGUUCCUUUGUGUUCACCGAAGAUCAGUUUUGUCCUAGGUGAUCCUUUGGGUUCACCGAAGACCAGAGAUAUUUCUACGGGAUCAUAGAUUGCGCCUGUUCGAGAAUGCGCCAGUUUAGAGGUAGAGGAAAGCUGGUGAAUGACAAGAAGUGAUCUUGGCGUGCCAUAGGGAAAUGUUUUGCUUCCGCUGUUAUGUUAUCAGUUUUAACUUCGGUAUUUUUGUAUUUUCAUUAUUACUCUUUUAAAACUAGAUAG